AAAAAGCACUCUGAGAACUUGAAAAAGCCCCUCUCCAUCAAAGAGGUGAUUAUAUAGUUUGUUAUUGAAUUUUGACAUUCAAAAUACAUUUCCCCCUCUUUUCCUCUUCACCAGAUUUGCAUUGACCUUUCCUGUAUGUUCUCUGUGAAGGGCGUGCUGAGCACUUGGAAUGUUCCUGAGAAUUAAAGGCAAAACUCACAAGGCCUGGCAGCUAAGAAUCUGGCUAUAAUGAGGGUCUAUCUACGCCACAGGACAUGUGUUCUAGAAAUUGCUCUUACUUAGAAUAAAAGUCAGCUAUCUAGACCGGGGAAGCUCUGGCAUAGCUGAGUCUUCUGGGGAAAGCCUGCAUGUUCUCUGGCAAGCUCUGGGCUUGGCCCUUAUGUGGCCAUCAGGGGCCCAGCCUUCUUUCAGUGGCACUGCUCUGCUAGGCUUCUGUAAGGUCCCACCGAGAAGGAGAAAACAAGGAGGAUCUAAACUUCUCUCUUCUCUCCAGCCCCUCCCCCCACAGCACCUGGGCCCAGCACCUGGGACACCUCCCGGGCUCGGGGCCUCAAGAAGGCUUUGCCAGGAGCUCUGACCUGAGGCCUAACCCUGAGGCUGGCCCUGCCUGUGCUCUAGGGGAUGGAAUGGUGGUCUCCUCCCCGUCACACCUCCAAGAGGCCAGGCCAGGAAGGGACUGGGAAGAAGAGGACCACCGAACCUUGAGAAACAUGCCCAGCCUGGCUGCCGUCUCCCAGGAACAUCAGAGAAGAAAGAGAAGCUUUUGGAGGGUCCUGGAUGAAGAUGCGCCCAAAAUAGGCAUGUCCUCAAGGAUUUAACAUCCAAACCCCAGCCCAGAGGUUACUGUGAGAUUUUCACUUCUGCAGACAUCAGCAAGGCGCAAUGGAAAGAACGCAGGGCAAAGAAGCUGAUUUCCAGGGUCCACGUAUAACCCAGUCAAAUGGAUUCCAAUCCAAGGCCAAGGUCAGCCUAGAGACAACCGACUGUCUACUUCUUCAUGUGCAGUGAGGGCAAGGUCCCAACUGCAGUGGGGCCAGCCCAGGCAGUGACUAAAUAGAGAUACCAUCAGCUUGUCUCAGCAUCCUUUGUGUCUGAAGAACUAUCAGCAGGCAAUAGAGCCCUUCCAGUGGUCCUCACAGCCUUCCAAAUGGAGCCCAACCUUAAUGCAGCAUGGAAGCUUUCCACGUGUCGUCCCCGCCCGCAGCUCUGACUUCCUGGGCUGCAAUGCACCCUCUGUGCCCCAUACCCGACCUGGGCUGCCAGCCCACACCCAGCCACAGCAGGGGCUCCCUCUCCUGUGUCCUCUCCUAAGCCUACUCCCAUCUGGUGCCUCCUCCUCAUUUUCAGCUUUGCAGACCCAGUUGAGAGCAGGGUGAAGCCAUCAGCCUAAAUCACCCAGCCAACAUUCUCUAAGGCAGCAGGGAAUGGUGAACCUAGACCAGCAGCAGCAGCUCUGGGAAUGCUUUAGAAAUGCAAAUUCUCAGGCCUCACCCUAGACCUCAUGAAUAGAAAAUAAAUCCCAACAUAGGCAAAAGCUGGAGAUCCACGGCCCCAGAGCAAAGGCGCCUCUGAGAAGUCCCUGAGCCCACCCUUCCCCACGAGGCCGGGCUGGCACAGCACCGGUGACUGUCCCUGCACGUGCACUCUGUGGGCACAGGCGCCUCCCUCAUCUCUGGCCCUCGGGGCCCUACAGGGCACCUGGAAGUCUGGUCCUACUGAACCAGUGCACAAACCAAUCUCCAGCAAUGACAAAACACCAGCCGGUCCAAUAGGAAAAAAGCAAAUGUUCUCAAGCCAUAAUACUGUAUUUGUAGCUAAACAUGUUUCAGCUUGAAUUCUUGAGUGUGAAAGAGCUGUUUCCCCAUUCGAUUUUGCCUUAUUUCCACUGAAAGGUUUCCUGGGACAGUGUCAAGCUCCUUUGUUGGAGUGAACAUUCUUAAAGAGGUGGCAUUCCCUCUCCAAGCUGUUAGAUGAAGCCAGCUAACUCUCCAACAGGAAUUCCGACUGCUGGGUGCUUCCCGGCACCUGAAACUUCCAGCUUGCCGGCUUUUCCGAUUCUAAGGGUUGGCCCAGGGACACUGUCAUUGUCAUCAUUUAGUUCUCUCUGUGGCAAAUGAUUAUGUAUCAGAAAGAGCAGACGGGGGCUGCCCCUGAGAUGACCCACAUCAAGGCACCAGCCAGCAUUCUAAGCACCAGAGGUUGACCUGUGGCACUCUCCCCAAGCCCCUACUUGGUAAGAGCAAAGCUCCACUGAACCCUUCUGGACACAAAGGGUUUUUACACAGCAGCCCAGAGUUCUGCCUGACUGAGUUGAAUAUGACGGUGAAAUCCUUUGGCAUGCUAGUAAAGAGAGGAACCAUCUACAAAGGAGCUGUCAGGAGGGCAUCUCUCAGAGCAAGAAACCAAGCUGGGCUCAGUGCUCCAGCCUGCCAAGCAGCCCCCGAGCAACAGCACAGCUGACGGUAGAUGCUCCAAGGGUCUCUAAUUACUCAACCCAUUUCCACCUGGAGGGGCUCCAGCGCUUGGCUGGGGCAGACAUCCCACAGCCUCAGCAUCCUGACCCACUGUGGCUAAACGAGCUGGGCGCAAGGCAGGCGCACACCCCAGACUGUCUUUGUUCAAGGAGACCUCAGGAGCGCUGGUGCACACACAGGUCUUCCAGCCCGAGAUUACUCUGGUCCAUCUAGCACAGCAGUUCUCAAAGCGAGGUCUAGGGAUCCUGGCAGUCUCAGGGAACCUCGUAGGGGGUCAGUGAGACCAAAACUAUUUUCCUAGUCAUACUAAGACCUUAAUGACCUUUCUCUCUCUCUCGCAGCCACCUUCCAGCCAGAUGCUAAAUUUGUAAAAAUGUAAAAACAAUGCCACAUUUCUCCCCAAUUUUUUUUUUGUUUUGGAAAAUAUAGUGAUUGUUAAUAAAAGUAUGUUCUGUUAUUUAUGGUAACGUGUAAUGAGCUGCUUGAUGUUAUUUUUAAAUGAAGUAAUAAAUAUGUAAACCUCUUUUCACCUGCAA